ensembl:lncRNA
GGCGGGGCCAGGUGUGUGGGCGUGGCCUGUCUGACCCCGCCCCUCCGCAGGAGGCGGGGCGGGCGCUGUGGGCGGAGCUUGAGGCCGCUCGGGCGGCCAAGGCGGGGGCGGAGCUCCGGGCCCGGGAGGUGGAGGCGCAGUGCCGGGCCCGGGGGGCGGAGCUGGAGCGGCUGCGGCAGGCGGUGCAGGCGGCCCGGCAGUCCCGGCGCCGGGCGGAGCAGGAGCGGGACCGGGUGGCGGCGGAGCUUGGCCACGCCCCCCGCGCCAGCGCCCCCGCCGGUGACCCCGCGGCGCUGGAGGAGCUGCGGGAGCAGAACCGGGACCUGCGGGAGCGGCCGGGACAGCGGCGGGGACAGGUGGGGACAGCGGGCACACCUGGGCACACCUGGGCACACCUGGGGGGACCUGGGGACACCUGGGGGGACCUGGGGACACCUGGGGAUACACCUGGGGACACCUGGGGAUACACCUGGGCACACCUGGGGGACACCUGGGGGCACCUGGGGGGACCUGGGGACACCUGGGGGGACCUGCGGGAGUGGCUGGGGCAAGUGGGGACACCUGGGAGGACACCUGGGUGGACCUGGGGGGACCUGGGGGGACACUGUGGGGGACAUGGGCACAGGUGUGGAUGCACCUGUGGGUGCCACGGGGACAGGUGUGGGUGCCAUGGGGUGCCGUGAGCACGGGUGUGGCACAGGUGUGGCACAGGUGUGGCACAGGUGUAUCACAGGUGUGUCACAGGUGGCACAGGUGUGUCACAGGUGUGUCACAGGUGUGGCACAGGUGUAUCACAGGUGUGUCACAGGUGUGUCACAGGUGUGUCACAGAUGUCACAGGUGUCUCAGGUGUGUCACAGGUGUGUCACAGGUGUGUCACAGAUGUCACAGGUGUCUCAGGUGUGUCACAGGUGUGUCACAGGUGGCACAGGUGUGCCACAGGUGUCACAGGUGUGUACAGGUGUGGCACAGGUGUGUCACAGGUAUCACAGGUGUGUCACAGGUGUGUCACAGGUGUGUCACAGGUGUAUCACAGGUGGCACAGGUGUCACAGGUGUGUCACAGGUGGCACAGGUGUCACAGGUGUGCCCAGCCCCUGCCCCACACUCUCCCGCAGGUGCAGCAGCUGCGGCGGGCCCGGGACCGCCCCGGGAGCCCUGGGACCACCGGGAUAACCGGAACCACCGGGACAACAACCGGGACAACAACCGGGACCACCGGGAUAUCAACUGGGAUAACCGGGACAACCGGGAUAACAGACGGGAUAACAGCCAGGACCACCGGGAUAACAACCGGGAUAACCGGGAGCACCGGGAAAACCGGGACCACCGGGAUAACCGGGACUCCCGGGAUAAGCGGGAUAACCGGGAUAACAACCGGGAUAACAACCGGGACCCCCGGGACUCCCGGGAUAACCGGGAGCGCCGGGAGCGCCGGGAGCGCCGGGAUAACCGGAACCACCAGGAUAACCGGGAUAACCGGGACAACAACCGGAAUAACCGGGAUAACCGGAGUGACCAGGAGCACCGGGACCCCCGGGACCGCCAGGAUAACCGGGAUAACAACCGGAAUAACCGGGAUAACCGGGAGCACCAGAAUAACCGGGAUAACCGGGAGCACCAGGAUAACCGGGAUAACAACCGGGAUAACAACCGGGAUAACCGGGAUAACCGAGUCCGCCCUGCGCGCCCGCUGCGCCCGCCUGGAGGAACUGCUGCGGAACGAGGCGGGGGCGCGGCUGGCGCUGGCCCGUGCCGCGCGUGUCACCGGGCGCCGCGUGCGGCUCCUGAUGGCCGAGGCUGAGGAGGAGCGGCUGAGAGGGGAGCGGUACCGGCAGCAGGUGGGACCCGUGUCACCUGUGUCACCUGUGUCACCUGUGUGUCACGUGUGUCACCCCUGUGUCACCUGUGUCACCUGUGUGUCACCUGUGUCAUCUGUGUCACCUGUCACCUGUGUGUCACCUGUGUCACCUGUGUGUCACCUGUCACCUGUGUGUCACCUGUGUGUCAUCUGUGUGUCACCUGUGUGUGUCACCUGUGUCACCUCUCACCCGUGUCACCUGUGUCACCUCUGUGUGUGUCACCUGUGUCACCUGUGUUACCUCUGUGUCACCUGUGUCACCUGUGUCACCUGUGUGUUACCUGUGUCACCUCUGUGUCACCUGUGUCACCUGUGUGUCAUCUCUGUGUCACCUGUGUGUGUCACCUGUGUCACCUGUGUCAUCUGUGUCUCACCUCUGUGUCACCUGUGUGGGUCACCUCUGUGUGUCACCUGUGUCACCUGUGUCACCUGUGUGUGUCACCUGU